CUUAAUGAGAACAAAAUGCUGAGUGCACCUUUUAAUUUACACCCAAAAACUUUUAUAUGUUUGUGUUGUUAAAAAAAAGUUUGAGGAGAGGGUUAAAUUUAAAGAAAAUCGGCAGAAAGCAACGACUGAAGUGUGAAAUCAUCUACUUUCACUGUCCACCUCAGAAUAACCCUCUCUCUUCAGUUUGAAAACUGGUUGUUGCUUCGGUCGUAAUUGGCCGUUUCGGAGGCACAUUGUCCGUGUCUUUUGAGCUCGCAGGUGUACGUAGUAAGCCACUGAAUCCGGAGAGGCUCCCUUGGACCACUUUGUUCUCUUUUCUCGCUUCCCGCUGUGCGGAAAAUUAGCGUUGCCGUCGUUUCUGGCCGUUUUCUCCUCGGGUUUAACCCCCUCAUCUCCUAAUGCCACCUCAUGAAAAUGUCAGAGCUCGCUGCGGCUAAUCGGAGGGCGAAGGGAGGGGAAGAGAUGUGUACUUUACAUCUACCCUGAUAACAGUUCAGGCGUGUUCCUAAGUUAGAUGAAGUAAAUCAUUAUCCAUUAUCAUUAAAAAAAAAAAAAAAAACGUUUAAAGGAAGAAAAAUAAGACCACAUUGUUUGGCGUAUAGUCAGACGGCUUGUUGUGACUAAGUUUGGGGGGUGAGGGCGAGAUGGGCGACUGAGGGUGUCUAGAUGUGUGAGGGUGCGGGAUGCUCCGCUGAGACACACAAAAUCACUUGGCAACCACCACGCAGGCUUCAGCGAACUGUUACCGUGGUAAACUGUUGGGUUUCCAGUUUGGAAGAUUAAAGACAAAAUUCGAUUUUAAUGAAUUGAUAGAAUGAGCACGAUGUCUUUGAUUGAUUUGCUAAGUCGCGUUUUAUUAUUAUUAUUAUUUUUAAAAGUUUAAAAUUAUUUGACAGCUAUUUCGUCAUAAAGCCGGAAACGAGAUUAAUGGUUGCUGUGGAAACUGGGGGGGUGCGUAAUAUUUACAUGCAUUCCGAGGGAGCCGCUCCCCUCCUGCACGCACAGCCUUCACUCCCCAGCACAACAGCUGACAUAAAAACUGCUUAUAUGAAGAAUCUGCUGAUUAUGGAAAAACAUCAGCUUGGCUGACAUGAGGUCUGUUCACAUCAGAACUUGUUUCAUCACUCUCUUGUACGAUGACUUGUCAGUCGUACCUCAGACGUUGUGUAUGCACAGGUGAGUGAGUGGGCGUACAUUUUUCUUCCCUUUUUUUAACCGAGCCGCUACGGUUGGUUGAAAUGCCACCAGGGCUGGAUACACGCAUGUGUGUGAGUCAGCCUAGAUGAGCGCUGCCUGUCACGCAAUAACAGGAGGGUGGACAGACUCAUCCGAUAACAGUCAAUGUUGUGUCUGCCACAUGUCAAAUGUAAUUUUAUAGGCUUAAAAAUCUGUUUGUGUACAUGUUGUGUUGUGUGUACAGACAAACAGUAGUCUAUAAAAAGUAAAAGACGAGAACAAAACAAGGUAAAGCAACAAAUCUGCACAGCAUAGGCGCGGGACGUUUCUGGCAAAUCUAUCAACAUCCUGUAUCUUGAGCUAUCUUUUAAAAUCCAGAUUUGGAUGCUAUUCUAAGUUUGUGUAGGUGUGUAGCGUAAGUUUUUCUCUUGAUGUAUUCAGGAGGAAAUAGAAUUAAACACAUGGAUUUUUAGCUUGUCAACAAAACAUAUCUACAUCAAAAGACUUGGCAUAAGGCCAAAGCAGUAGUCUACCUGUCUGCUUAGCUCAUAGUUGGCAGUGUCCACAGCAAAAGGAGGUUUUUUUUGGGCAAGGCAACUAAAACACCUCUAUAAAUUAGUUUGUUGUUGUUGUUGUUGUUUGUCAAAAUGAAUUGAAUAUGAGUUAUUACUUCAACUCAGUCUCAGCAAACCCAUUACAAACUUUUUAAUAGGGCCAGUUUUACACAACACUGUAAAGUGAUCAAACUUUAAAAGACUAAAUGAUACAGUAAAUUGGUUAACAGUAAGUUCCCUUACUAUAUAC